UAGGGAAUCUUGCACAAUGGGCGAAAGCCUGAUGCAGCCAUGCCGCGUGAGUGAUGAAGGCCCUAGGGUUGUAAAGCUCUUUCACCGAUGACGAUAAUGACGGUAGUCGGAAAAGAAGCCCCGGCUAACUUCGUGCCAGCAGCCGCGGUAAUACGAAGGGGGCUAGCGUUGUUCGGAAUUACUGGGCGUAAAGCGCGCGUAGGCGGAUUAUUUAGUCAGAUGUGAAAUCCCGGGGCUCAACUCCGGAACUGCAUUUGAAACUGGUAAUCUAGAGGCUAGGAGAGGUUCGUGGAAUACCGAGUGGAGAGGUGAAAUUCGUAGAUAUUCGGUGGAACACCAGUGGCGAAGGCGACGAACUGGACUAGUACUGACGCUGAGGUGCGAAAGUGUGGGGAGCAAACAGGAUUAGAUACCCCCGUAGUCC
rnacentral:rRNA from 1 species